UGCCAGCCGCCGCGGUAACACGGAGGGUGCGAGCGUUAAUCGGAAUCACUGGGCGUAAAGCGUACGUAGGUGGCAAAGUCAGUCAGGCGUGAAAGCCCUCGGCUCAACCGAGGAAUUGCGUUUGAUACUACUUUGCUAGAGUCUCGGAGAGGUUGGCGGAAUUCCAGGUGUAGGAGUGAAAUCCGUAGAUAUCUGGAGGAACACCAGUGGCGAAAGCGGCUCACUGGGACAGAUUCGACGGUCAGAUACGAAAGCGUGGGGAGCAAAACGGAUUAGAUA
rnacentral:rRNA from 1 species